CAGACACACCAUAGGAAGAAUGCUAUAUGAACUUGAAAGCAGAGAUGGGCUGAGCAUCUGCAAGCCAAUGAACACCAAAGAUUCAGAGCAAACACCCAGAAGCUAAGAGAGAGAGGCAUGGAACAGAUUCUUCCGCCCAGGCUUCAGAAGGAACCAGUCUUGCUGACACCUUGAACUUGAACUUCUAGCCUCUGGAACCGUGAGACAAUAUGUUUCUGUUGUGGGUUCGGAGGAAGGAGACACAUUCAGCCUCAAGGGCCAGAGAGAGCAUGAUGGUUUCUGGUGAGGGCAAGUAGCUGGAGGCGUGGGCAGGAGCAAGGGCUUCCAGCCCCAUCAUGUCCCACCGGAGAUCUUGCCUGGACGAGACUAAAACUGACGGAUGGCUCCCACUGGCCAUUUGAGAGCACGUCCCCCGCUGGCCAAGCCCGGGGAAGGUGGGUGCAUUUCAACUACCCCUCGGCCCAUCUGUGCCCCGUUCAGGCUCCGACUCUCCUCUUGUCUGCUCUCUUCGUCCUCCAGAUUUAAUGUCUCUUCCACGCGACUCAACCAGCCUCAUGAGCCUCAAAAAUCAUCUGGUACUGGUACUGGCUGGCAGCUUCCUGGCCCGAUGACGCUAACUGUUGGGGAUGGGACUCGGCCACCAGGCCCUGCAGCGCCCUCCCCAUCCCUGACCACCCAGGAUGGCCCGACCCGGCGGCCUGCAAGGAAAUGAAUUCCUGGCUGGAGGGAAACAGCAAGAAGUUUCUAGCCAUCUAGAUUUCACAUGAACAACUCAAGAACUUGAGACUGGACAUGAGACUGGGCGUGAAAGCCCCUCCUCGGGUGCCAGGAUUCGAACUUGCCUGUGAUGGACGUGGUCACCUGGACGGCUUCGGACAGGUGCGUUCUCGCACUGCCAGUUACACCUUCCCACUUGGAGGACUGUAUUACUCAGCACGACAGGCGGCUACCAGGGAAAGCGGUGGCAGGAAGGGAAGGCGACCCUUUCCUCACUAAGCGAAGGAAGAGGUGUGAAUCUGGGGACCACAGUCUGGCCCUGAUUGAAGCCCACAGGCCCUGGAGAUGCUCUCACAGGAAGGAACUACUGGGGGAAUGGGACCCGGUGACCACGCCAGUUACAGAAGGAACCAUUCCAGUGUGACACAGCAGAAGACACAAGAGGAUGGGUGCUCAAAGGAGAGCCCAAGGAUAAGGCAACAUGACCGAGUGCAGACACAGGUUGAAGCCAGGCGCCUGAGCAGCUGCCACUGUCAGUGGAGCCGGAGACCUUCCAGCCCUGCGUGUCCAUGAAAAGCGACUGUUGGAGACCCAAGCCCCGACGUUCCAGGGCCUCGCCGGACCGUCAGCGCCCCUGCGCCCCAGGCUGGCUCGGCCGAGGCGGGGAAGCCCUCUGGUGGCCGCGGCCGACGUGACAACAGGCUCCCAGGCUCGGUGCUGCGGGGACGGCGCUCCCCGUGAAGACACAGUCUGCGAAGUCCCUGCGGCCUAAAUGCACCCUCCCCGUCGCCCCCAGAGCCUCCUAGUCCCCAGACCCCACCAGGUCCCCGCAGACAGCUGUCCCCGGGCCCGCCGAGCUCUGUCUUCGCGCCCAAGCUAGGCGGACCGCCGGGGACCCUGGCCUGGACACUCAGGGGAGGUCCCCCGAGCUCUCUGCUGAAGGCUUCCAGGCUCUGGUGGCGUCUCUCUGGUGGAGAUGGGCCAAAGGGACCCUUCCUUGAGAGGCACACCCGUCUCAGGACAGGUGGAGCAGCAUUGGCACACACAGGCUGGAGCUGUCGUGCCCUUCCCGGACCGUGCUGGUGCUGAGCCACUUUCUGGAGGUGUCGUCCCUCCAGGUACCCUGUUCCCCAAAGGUACCGCGCUCAGGAAAAGAUAGAGAACCACGAGCCUUCUGGGCAAAAGUUCCAGCAUCCCAGCCCUCCACCGUCUGGCCUCGAGCGUCCUUUCUAGCCUUAGUGUUAAGUGUAGUGUCCAGGUCAGGGGCUAGAAUUAGACAGCCUGGGCUAGAACCCCAGGUCCCCAACUUAUUGGCUAUGUAACUGUGUGGAAGGUUCUAAAUCCUUCGUUUCUAUGCAAGGUGGUUGAUAUUUUUUUUUUACUGUUUUAUUUUUUUAUUUAUAUAUAUAUUUUUUGGUGGUUGAUAUUUUAAUAAGGUAGCCUGUGUAUCGGCCUUAGCCUGGUGCUUGCCACACAGUCGAUGCCCAAUUGACGACAGCUGUCACUAGUACUCCUCGGUCAACAGGCCUACUGAUCUGCUCACAGGUAGACAUGUACUUGCACCUUCCAUCUCUGCACUUUGGCUUGUGACACUUUAUUUGCUUGGAAUGUCCUCUCCCUGUUCUCUAAUGUCAAGACCUCACCUGUUCUGCUGAGCCCAGCUCAAAUUUCUUCACCUGCUUAGGGAACUGAGCUAAUCCUGGACUUAGGAACCUCACGGGUUAUUGUGAGAGGAAACAAAUACUUUGUGAUAGUGCACCGUAUAAACGUAUACGUGUGUGUCAUAGAAAAAUGUGCAUGAUAUUUUAUUGCUUGUACAAUCAUUCUACAAAAUUAGAUAAAGCCUUAUAAUGUGUAUUCCUGCAUUACCGGAAUAGUUACUCAAAUUGUUUUGACAUUUUACUUCUCUGCGUAACACAUA